CACCCGUCCCACCACCUUAUCUUUACUGCCAAGGAGAAGCAACUUGACCAAGAUCCUAGGGGUAGGAUCAAUGCAGGUGGGAAGCAGAAGCCAAAUCCUGUCCAGAGGCCCCUCUUCCUGCCACAUGCUCCUCUCUGACAGGUCAACACUCAACCACUGAGCCACGCCGGCCGGUCUACAACUAACUUCUUAAAGAGCCCAACAUCCUGAACCAGAGAACAGACCCUAUCAAAGCAGGAAAGUCCAAGGGGAAGGGCCAAGAGCAGGGGAAGAUGAGAGGCCGGGAUCCGGCAGGCUGUCUCCCUUCUCGAACUGACGGCUAGGGCAGCGGUUGCUACUCUCAACGCACGCGAGGCUCAUGUGCAUCACAGCACGGGCUGGGGGACCCAGGCGCUGGCUCUGACCAACACUGAGCCUCCCGUCACACCCGGCUUCUCAACUAACCACGUUAAAAUGAACUUGAAUGUAAAACCCAGCUCCCCAGCCGCACCGGCAGCAUUUUAGUGCCCCGCAGCCACGUGCGCCGUGUGGGCAUCUGAUGGAAGUGUGAU